UCAAACGCGUCGAUGCGUUGGCGUCGGC
rnacentral:sRNA from 1 species